UUGGGGGGGCAAGAUGGGUGAGACUGGACCAGUCAGGCCUAUCUACAGGUCCCUCCGUGGCAAGCACAAGCACCAGCAUUGAGGGAGAAUCCAGUGGGCAGCCAACAAGCCCCCAGAGGUGUACCUAGGCACAGAACUGAAAAAUCUCCUUGGCUCCAAGUUCUACGCAUGGGGAGAGAAAGUGGCCUAAACUCCUAAUCCAGGACAGUGGGUGUUCCAGAUGGCCUAGAGAUUUGCCUGUGUGCAGAGUAUAGAGGGCCCUGCUGUACCAUGGUCUCUGCACAGGAGAGCAAAGUGCUGAUUAGUGCUGGAAUAAGAAAAGUACAAGAUGCAAUUGGACCAUGAACAAGAAGCUACUAACUUCUUUAGAGAAAGCAUUCUCACAGGCCUUCGAUGAAUUGGAAGAUGUCCACCCACAUGGUGAGGGCAGAUCUUUCUUACUCCACCCACCGAUGCAGAUGUCAGUCUCUUCUGGAAGCACCUUCACGGGCAUACCCAGAGCUAAAGCUUGACCAGCAUUAGUUGGUAAAUAUGUGAUUAGGAACUCUUAUGAACCAGAAAAGAGAAAUCUUGCACUGAUUGGAAUAUGGCAGCCACUCACCAUCUCCCCUGUCUGCUCUCACUCAGUUUAUCUGACCCAAUGGGAAUGGAGAAUCUCAGGCAUAAAACCAACUGCUUCGUGGGUUACUCUGGAAAAUUCUAAACUGAAGCUUUUUUGAGAAAGGAGACAUUACCUCAGAACUUCCACAUGUAGCUACUGUGGAGUUUCUGUCUAUGUGAAUGGAUAUUUUCACCAGAUACUGGAAACAUGCUAAAGCUGGAUUCCAGUGCAAUAAAGGCAACUCAUUUAGCCAUUGGCCUGUGAUACUAUGAGAAAUACAGUUAAAUUAGACGAAUGCUCCACCAGGAAUU